AGGGGCGUAGCUCAGUUGGCAGAGCAACGGCCUCCAAAGCCGUUGGCCGGAGGUUCGAGUCCUCCCGCCCCUG
rnacentral:tRNA from 3 species